rnacentral:lncRNA from 1 species
AACAUUUGCUCAAAAUAAAUAAAAAGAUGCUUGUUUUUCUUCAAUAGUUAUAAGCCGUUGUGCUUUCUUAUAUUUUUAUUGAUAUGUAUUGUUUUAUUCUAGAUGAGAGAAGUGCAGAGGAAAUCAUUUGUCUUGACAUGCUAAAAGAGGAGAUAAUGCACAGUAGCAACUAUAUUGCUAGGUAAGAAUCCGAAGUGUAUUUGAUUUUAAAAAUGUCAAUAUAUAUUUGAUCAAAUGAAUGAUAUUAAGCAUGAAAAGAAGUUUUAUAUUAAAAAUAUCAAUUUACUCAUCAGUACAUUUAUGCUUUUAUACCACGGUUCUAAUGUUGUUAUCUUGAUCUUAAAUCAUGCAUUUACUUUUUGGUGUUGUAGUUCGUAUACUUAUAUUUUUAGAUUAAUUCUACUUAGUUGCUUAUCAAUAUUUUUCUAUCUUUCAGGCCAGUGACCAGCAGUUGGGUACUAAGAAAGGAGAAGCUCUUAUUGACUUGUAAAAUGAAAACAGGAC